rnacentral:rRNA from 1 species
UACGUAGGGUGCAAGCGUUAAUCGGAAUUACUGGGCGUAAAGCGUGCGCAGGCGGUUGUGUCAGUCUGUCGUGAAAUCCCCGGGCUCAACCUGGGAAUUGCGAUGGAGACUGCACGGCUAGAGUGUGUCAGAGGGGGGUAGAAUUCCACGUGUAGCAGUGAAAUGCGUAGAUAUGUGGAGGAACACCGAUGGCGAAGGCAGCCCCCUGGGAUAACACUGACGCUCAUGCACGAAAGCGUGGGGAGCAAACAGG